rnacentral:rRNA from 1 species
UACGGGGGAGCAAGCGUUGUUCGGAUUUACUGGGCGUAAAGGCGCGUAGGCGGCCAGCACAAGUCAGUUGUGAAAUCUCCGAGCUUAACUCGGAAAGGUCAACUGAUACUGUGCGGCUAGAGUGCAGAAGGGGCAACUGGAAUUCUUGGUGUAGCGGUGAAAUGCGUAGAUAUCAAGAGGAACACCUGCGGCGAAGGCGGGUUGCUGGGCUGACACUGACGCUGAGGCGCGAAAGCUAGGGGAGCGAACGGG